CUUCCAAUUGCCAGUGUAGAUUCCUAGCCUCAGAGCCACCAUAAUCUAAUUACAUGUGUAUUUAUCUAUCUAUGGAUGUCAUAAAAAGAAUGAAACAGAGAAAUCUAAAAAGGCUGGAGUCCAGUCCCAAAGGGAAAAUCUGUUUAAUAGCAUUGACACUGUAGGAGGUGGAGAAUGUAAUAGGACCAGGGAUGAGUGCCACAUCAAAGUAAUUGGAGCCUUCUUUCUUUGCAGAGUUUAGACAGGUAGGGUAAGUUUGUGAUUGAUGUCCUUCAAUACCAGAGUUCCAGAGGAAUGUGGAACAGACUGGAAUGAUGGGAGGAGUGAGCCAGAGCUUAGUGAUUUUACCUGAAGUUGACAACUUCUGAGCGGUUGAGCAAGUAAAGUAAUUCAUGAUUCUUCUAAUGAACCUUUUAUGUUACUCACUGUAGGAAUAAUCAAAGAAACGUGCCCAAGUUUGUAAUGUCUGAGAUUUGGUAUAAUUCAUGUUAGAAUGUUUUGAGUUUGUUUUUCUUGUUUUAAUUUUUUCAUAAUUCUGCUGACGCCAUUUUGUUUAUUUUUAAUACCGUCUCUGCCAUUUUGGGAGGAAUUUUGAUGGCAGUGGUCAUGUUUAUACUUUGCUAUGCCUGUUGCUGGUCAUACAGAAAUCAUGUGGUGUACUGUGUCAUCAUGUACCACAUGUUUAAGAUGGUGAUGUGACUCCCUAGACAUUCUUGCUUUGCAUCUCUUACUUUAUUCUGCUUUCUUACUAUAGAACUGUGAAAAAUAAAUGGUGCUUUUGAGAAGACUUUAUGGAAGGACUUUUGGUCGGUGCUGUAUUUUGAGUUAAAUUCUGUUAUUUUUGUCUUGGGUUUCAUCAUUCCAUUUCUCUUUCAGUGCCCCAGUAACUCUUACACAGUGCUGAUCAAUUCAUUAGACAUCAUAGGUGACCAGCAAGGGUGCAGUUUCUGAAAGUUAAGAAGUGUGGACUCUGGACACCAACGGACAGUGUUUAUGUAACUCCAGUGACAUGGACUUCCAUAAUCCAUCCCCCCAGUGCAUUGUGGACAACAAAACACCAAGGGCCGUCAUUUUGGUAACUCGGGGUUACUCUGAACAUCAAAGGAGGGGGUCUUCAAAGUCUAAUGAUAUUGAAUGCGCAUAUGGAAACCAAAGGGUGCUCAGGACCUUUUGUCAACAUUAAGUAUAUAAAGCAUGUUUGUGUGUGUCUAUGUGUGUAUACAAAGUGGACACAAUCCCCUUUUAAUAUAAAGGUUACUAGAAGAUUAAGAAAGUAAAAGGGACCAUCGUGAUCCAUGAAAUUGUUGAUUAAGUAGCUUAUUAGGACACAGUACUGGCCUCUUCAGAUGUGGGCCUGAGAAUUAAAGCAGACUUCUGGAUUGCCUUGCUCUUAUAUAGCAGACUGACAGGACAGGGAGACGGGCUCACAGCAUCCCAGAGGGUGCCGACAGAGGUUGCAGGGAUGGGGGGCUGCAUUCACCAGUGUCAAAGCUCUGCUGAGUAUGCUUGUUGAAUGAGCAGGGUGUGAUGGGACAGAGUCUGACUGAAGGAAACCGAUUCUGACUGCUUUUAUCAUAGAUUUUGAGUAUUAAUUGGAUUUUUAACUUCCUGCAUUGCAGUGUUUCUUUUAUGAAUAAUUUAUUGAAGAUGUUAUUUAACCACUGCAUGUUGGACAUUGUUUGUCUUAAACUAAAUGCACUAUGCACUUGCUGUUUGUGUCCUCAUUCGCCAUAGUUUAUCUAAGUUAUGAGAUACAAUUACGGAAUAUGGAAGAAGCUAAUGGUUAAAGACACAUGGGGCAUCACACAUAGACACAUAAUGUUUUUGAAAUGUCAUCUCAGUAGAAAACAAAUCUAAAAUAUACUUUAACAGAUGUCAAAAUUGCUUACCUGCACUUAUCAUUCAACAUACCAAUCAAUACAGCUAGCUCUGGCACUUAACAAAGGAGUAAUCUCCCACUUCUACUUCACAAAAACCUCUCAAUUUCUUCAUUUGAGGAGUUAAUGAAAAAUGUUGUCUAUGCUGAGCAAAUCUGUGACUUGAGGUAUGAAUGAGAGAGAAUCAUCACAGCAAUUGCAGACAUCACACUAGGCACGGCUGACAGGACUUGAAUAGAAAUAAAGCAUCAUGUUGAUGUCUGUGAUAGUGAAAAUAGUGUUAACAUUCUUUUAGCAUUCUUUUUCCUUUCCAUUCAGAAUAUUUAAUUUGGAAUUUUCUAAGAUAAAAAUUUUGAAAUGGUUCGAUUCUCUUUAUUGGUGUUACUUUUUCAUUAUGUUUAUCCCUUAAAAUUACAGUUGUAGUGUGUGUUUAAACUUGUCUUUUAUUGACCUCUUUUCAGAAUCUGUAUUUUUCUCCCCCAACUUAUUACAGCAAUGACCUUGACCAAUGCAAGAAUGGGAAAGUCAAAGAAAUAUGGUGCCGGAUAUCAUUUUCUACUGUACUUCUAUUUUAGCUGGAUUGCCUGACACCUCAGCAGCCCAGCUGAACAGAGACUGAGUGUACAAUAUUGGUAUUUAGAUGGAAAUGCUGCAAUAAAAAGAAGAUCAGCUAUAACAUACAGCAUGAUGGCUGACUUGAUGACCUUCAUCUACUGCAGUUUGGAAGAAAACAAAAGGAAACUUUGGGGCCCUAUUUUAAGCAUUAUACUUUACCAACAAACAUUUUUGAUUAUGUCUGAAAAUUACAUUUUGGAGCAGAUAAGUUAUAUUUUCUUGACAAGCUGUGAUGACAAUAAAAUUUUAUUACUAUG